CCCAAUGCGACGGCCAAUCCCGUGAGGGAAUGACUGUGACAUCUGCUCCAGUGUCCAGAAGCCCGUGAACGAGCUUCUGGUCUCCACCUUUCUGUAGGCUGCAGGUGAUUCUUGGUUUUUCUCUGCCUAGGGCCUGAGCCCAAGCCACCGAUGGGAGGUGUGAGGAUGUGGAUGUUUUGGGUGGCUCGGAGUCCCAGGGCCCCUCAGGGAUAGGAAUGGCUUGCGCCACAACUUGACCCCGAGGCAGAAAGGUACCUGGGCACUCCGGACUGACGGAGACGAGCUGGAUAUUUGAGUCAAUAAGAUGGAGUGGCUCCGUCAACUGCAACCGAAAGGGGAUCGUCCUGGAGGUGGUUGUUAGGACUGGUCGAGGCACCUCCUGAAAAAGACCAGAAAUAGGUCUGUCGCAGCUACCCUCCGAGCCGGAGCCCUGGGUUGCUUGUCGAGCUCCUCUGCGAUGAUGGUGACUUUGCGGUCGCAGACGUCUAGCAUCUGAUCCAGCGUGGGAGGAGGAUCUAGCGGCAGACUGAGGAUGGCGGCCUUGCAGGAUGGAUUUGCAUUCGUCGCUGCCAUCUCAGUGAGGAUUCCCCUCUUAGUUGACUCAUCAUGGACCUGCGUCUCGACCGCCCUGCGGAGGCGCUCAACAAAGCUUAAAAAGGACUCAUUAGGUUCUUGCACGAUCUUUACAAAUGGUAUCAAGGGGGUAGCAGGAGACCGCAAGGUAAGGAAAGCUCGCUCGGCUGCUUUGGCUCCCUCCCUUAAAGCCUCCACUGGGACAUACCACGCUUGAGUUUGCCCAUCCUCCCAUGCCCCCUGUCCCACACAAGUGGUCGGUUGAUAACACACCCCCCUGCAGAUCUGAGGCUGUCGCUUGGUUCUCCCACAGCGAGGGUAAGAUGUUACUAAUUUCUCUUCUCCAAUGUUUCUCCCAAACAAGGAAUUCUGUGGGGUUUAAAAGGCAGGAGAACAGCCGCCUUGCCUUAAAUCUGCAGGGGUGACCACUGUUUCAGAGAGUGUAGCUCUCAGAAUCCCCCGGAAAUAUUCACUCUCCCGGGAGAAAUCCUUUUGGGCUUUGCACAGCUCUUUUAUCGAAUGAUGUGGGAAUGGUGUC